AUGGUCACAAAUCAAGAGUCCAGUUCAGAAGGCAGUUCUGUUUCUCUGUCCUGCAGUUACAGAAAAGGUGCAGCGGAUUAUUUCUUCUGGUAUCGACAAUUUCCAGGAAAACAACCAGAGUUCCUGAUCUUUAUUACGGAUUUUGAGGAAAAACGGAAGGAUUCUCUAUCCAGACUUUCUGGUAAAGUUAGAAAAAAUGAAGCCCAGAUGGACCUGCUGAUCUCCUCUGCUGCAGUGACAGACUCUGCCUUGUACUACUGUGCUGUGAGGCCCACAGUGACAGGAAACACCAGAACUCUGUACAAGAACCAGUAG